rnacentral:rRNA from 1 species
AUCAGCCUUUUGGGUGUGAUUUUGUGGAGCGUGAGGAGUUAAACGCCUUCAUGCCUGCAUAUUCGUGCACUUUGGGUGUACUUGCCCGUGUGGUUGGUUAACAUCAAUUUUGGUUAUCAUAAAAUGACUGGAGGAAUGUAGCUUCGAUCUCGUAUUGAAGUGUUAUAGCCUUCGGUAGAUGUGAUGAUCGAGAUUGAGGAUUGCAACGGAUACCCUUCGGGGCUACCUGUCUGAUCUCUGAUCGUUGCUCUGGUGCCGAAAGCUUGCUUACGGUUAUCAAAGUCGAUGGUCAAUAGGUUAGAACGGGUUAAAUUUCGUUAAGGAUGUUGACGUAAUGGCUUU